GGAGGUGAUAUUAUGUGUAUAUGAUUUUCUUCUUUUUUUGUGAGAUGUUUAAUUGAUUCAGCUGAUCUGGUUGGCUAGGAGGAUGCCCCUUCCUAUCUCACCACUCCAUGUGUGUCUCUCCUGAAGCUGUAUGCUCAGUCAAAAAGGACAGCCUUCUCAGAAUAGAGGAGGACUGGUAUUUGAUCAAGGAUAUCCACGUAGUUGUGUUCUAAUGCUUCAACCUCCAAACAAGUUCCCAAGGCCCCUUGAUUCUUAGAGAGAGAUUGCAAGCAUAAUCACAGACAAUAACUGUGUAGGAUUCUGCCCUACAAUGGCCAUU
rnacentral:snRNA from 1 species